rnacentral:rRNA from 1 species
CCUACGGGAGGCAGCAGUGGGGAAUUUUGGACAAUGGGCGCAAGCCUGAUCCAGCAAUGCCGCGUGAGUGAAGAAGGCCUUCGGGUUGUAAAGCUCUUUUGUCAGGGAAGAAACGGUGAAGGCUAAUAUCUUUUGCUAAUGACGGUACCUGAAGAAUAAGCACCGGCUAACUACGUGCCAGCAGCCGCGGUAAUACGUAGGGUGCAAGCGUUAAUCGGAAUUACUGGGCGUAAAGCGUGCGCAGGCGGUUUUGUAAGUUUGUCGUGAAAUCCCCGGGCUCAACCUGGGAAUGGCGAUGAAGACUGCAAGGCUAGAAUCUGGCAGAGGGGGGUAGAAUUCCACGUGUAGCAGUGAAAUGCGUAGAGAUGUGGAGGAACACCGAUGGCGAAGGCAGCCCCCUGGGUCAAGAUUGACGCUCAUGCACGAAAGCGUGGGGAGCAAACAGGAUUAGAUACCCUGGUAGUCCACGCCCUAAACGAUGUCUACUAGUUGUCGGGUUUUAAUUAACUUGGUAACGCAGCUAACGCGUGAAGUGACCGCCUGGGGAGGUACGGUCGGUCGAGAAGUUAAACGUUAAAGGUAAAGUUAGUUACGGCGUUGAGACGUGCCGACGGACGACGACGAGGGAGGAGG